rnacentral:rRNA from 1 species
UGGGGAGUUUUGGACAAUGGGGGAAACCCUGAUCCAGCAAUGCCGCGUGUGCGAUGAAGGCCUUCGGGUUGUAAAGCACUGUCGAGGGGAAACAAGCCGUAAGGUUGAGUGACCCCUGGAGGAAGCACGGGCUAAGUUCGUGCCAGCAGCCGCGGUAAGACGAACCGUGCAAACGUUAUUCGGAAUCACUGGGCUUAAAGGGCGCGUAGGCGGGUGAUCAAGUCAAUGGUGAAAUCCUCCAGCUUAACUGGAGAAGUGCCUUUGAUACUGAUUGUCUAGAGGGAGGUAGGGGCAUGUGGAACUUCAGGUGGAGCGGUGAAAUGCGUAGAUAUCUGAAGGAACGCCAGUGGCGAAAGCGAUGUGCUGGACCUCUUCUGACGCUGAGGCGCGAAAGCUAGGGGAUCAAACGGG